AUCAAAAACAUAGCUUGAAGUUUUAUUUUAGGUAAAUUCUGCCCAGCGUAAAUAUUAGCGGCCGCAGUACCUUGACUGUGCUAAGGUAGCAUAAUCAAUUGGCUUUUAAUUGAAGUCUGGAAUGAACGGAUUAAUGAGGACUUGCUGUCUCUAAAUAAUUUAUUUGAAAUUAUUUAUUAAGUGAAAAUACUUAUAAUUAGAAAAAAGACGAGAAGACCCUUAGAAUUUUUAAUAAAAUAUAGAUUAAUAUUAUUUUUUUGUUGGGGCGACAAAGAAACAUUUAAACUUUCAUUAUUUCAUGACAUUAAGAUUUGAAAGAAUAAAUUACCUUAGGGAUAACAGCAUAAUUAAUAAAUUAGUUUGUGACCUCGAUGUUGGACUAGGAACUAGUUGACUAACAGUCAAAAUAGAUUGUCUGUUCGAACAGAAAUUCC
rnacentral:rRNA from 1 species